ACCUGGAACUUGAAAGUAGGCUUCUAGGAAAUGCUCUAAAGCUAAAGGGAAAAGUGAGACAAAACUCUCCCCUGGAAAGCUACAAAUAAACAGAAAAGAAUGAGGGGAGUGAUAUUCUCUGAGACCUGUUCUCAGAGAAAUUCUCUGGACAUGUUUUAAAGCCAAAAUAACACUUCAUACUACCUCUAAUGUAAGUAUAAUUUGUUUUUAAUGUUAAAUGUCAGCUUGCAAAAAAAUGCCGCAGGCACCAACGAUGAUGCUUGUCCCAGGUAACGGCAACCUGACCAUGUCGGCUGUGUUUUAAUUAAACCUGGGCCGGGUCCAGAGCGGCUCCUGUGCGGGGUUCUCAUCAGCAGAGGCUCCGAGCUCUCGGGUGAGGGAAACACGCUCAUGGGAAAAGACUGGAAUGAAAUUGUCUUCCUCGGCGGCCGUGCGAUGUCAGCAGGAGCAAAUCCCCGCACCCCUCUCCGGCAGGCACUUGGCCACUCCACUCUGCCUCCGCGCCUCCCCUCGUUCCAGAGUUUCCAGGCUCAGCGCUGCCGUGGGACCCUGAGGUGAGUGACCCGACACUCGGGCUCUGCCCCGCGAGGCCUUGCUGGUUCCGCUGGCUUCCUCUAGGACACCUGCACUCUGAGUGAGACUCCACUCCCCAGAAACAGCCCUGGAACCCCGGGAACAGGCACUGGCCCGGGAGGUCAUUGCCUUGACCAGCUGACCAAGUGAAGGGUACAGCUUGGCCGCCAGCCAGAGACUUUGCCUGGAGCAGGGGUGUGCGGCUUCUGUGUUAGGGGAGGAAGGAGUCUCAUCUCCACUGACUCAGAAGCCAGGACUGCUCCAGCUUUUAUUGCAGGAAGAUUCCAGAACUUUCCAUGACCUAAGGAACGUGGGCAAGUGCAACAGCAGAAACAGAGGCCAGGACAGGCCAGUAAGCCGGGCAGAUUCCAGGGCUCCUGGCAAGCUCAGGAAAUUUGAGCAGACCAAGGAAUGGACUGCGCCCCUCUACGUUCCAGGCCUUUAUCCGGUGUCUUCCUAUACUCGGGCCAGUGGGGGGAAGCGCCCUCAGCCUCAGUGACAGAUAUGGAAAUGAAUGAUUUGCAGAAGACACAGAGUUAGUGCAUAGUGGGGCUGGGAUUUGAAGCUUUGUCGGGCUGAGUCCGCCCUGUGUGACUCUUCGUUCUCUCAUAUUGCCGCCUGUUGCCUCCCU
rnacentral:lncRNA from 13 species